UUCUCCCCGAAAGCUAUUUAGGUAGCGCCUCGUGAAUUCAUCUCCGGGGGUAGAGCACUGUUUCGGCUAGGGGGCCAUCCCGGCUUACCAACCCGAUGCAAACUGCGAAUACCGGAGAAUGUUAUCACGGGAGACACACGGCGGGUGCUAACGUCCGUCGUGAAGAGGGAAACAACCCAGACCGCCAGCUAAGGUCCCAAAGUCAUGGUUAAGUGGGAAACGAUGUGGGAAGGCCCAGACAGCCAGGAUGUUGGCUUAGAAGCAGCCAUCAUUUAAAGAAAGCGUAAUAGCUCACUGGUCGAGUCGGCCUGCGCGGAAGAUGUAACGGGGCUAAACCAUGCACCGAAGCUGCGGCAGCGACGCUGAUGCGUUGUUGGGUAGGGGAGCGUUCUGUAAGCCUGUGAAGGUGGCCUGUGAGGGUUGCUGGAGGUAUCAGAAGUGCGAAUGCUGACAUAAGUAACGAUAAAGCGGGUGAAAAGCCCGCUCGCCGGAAGACCAAGGGUUCCUGUCCAACGUUAAUCGGGGCAGGGUGAGUCGACCCCUAAGGCGAGGCCGAAAGGCGUAGUCGAUGGGAAACGGGUUAAUAUUCCCGUACUUGGUGUUACUGCGAAGGGGGGACGGAGAAGGCUAUGUUGGCCGGGCGACGGUU
rnacentral:rRNA from 1 species